rnacentral:ncRNA from 1 species
ACACGACAAUACUAAAACUUCCGCGAGGAAGUGACGGAAAGCCUAAGGGUCUCACGCAGACAGCCGGGUCGCCGAA